ACUUUCUGGCAAUGGGCAAAGAGACACCUUACUGAUGUUGCUCUUAUAUCAGUCAGGGCUGAGCAGAUGGCAGUCCUUUGCUCAUCCUAGCCUGAUGUCCAGUUUUGUGGCCAAAGCUGUUUUAUGCCUAGGACUCAUAG